rnacentral:rRNA from 1 species
GGAAUAUUGGACAAUGGGCGCAAGCCUGAUCCAGCCAUGCCGCGUGAGUGAUGAAGGCCCUAGGGUUGUAAAGCUCUUUCAGCGGGGAAGAUACUGACGGUACCCGCAGAAGAAGCCCCGGCUACCUUCCUGCCAGCAGCCGCGGUAAUACGAAGGGGGCUAGCGUUGUUCGGAAUCACUGGGCGUAAAGCGCGCGUAGGCGGAUUGUUAAGUCAGGGGUGAAAUCCCGAGGCUCAACCUCGGAACUGCCUUUGAUACUGGCGAUCUUGAGUCCGGGAGAGGUGAGUGGAACUCCUAGUGUAGAGGUGAAAUUCGUAGAUAUUAGGAAGAACACCAGUGGCGAAGGCGGCUCACUGGCCCGGUACUGACGCUGAUGUGCGAAAGCGUGGGGAGCAAAC